UGAGGUGGAGAGAGAGGAUGAGGAGGAGAGAGAGGAUGAGGUGGAGAGAGAUGAUGAGGAGGAGAGAGAGGAUGAGGAGGAGAGAGAGGAUGAGGAGGAGAGAGAGGAUGAGGUGGAGAGAGAGGAUGAGGAGGAGAGAGAUGAUGAGGUGGAGAGAGAGGAUGAGGUGGAGAGAGAGGAUGAGGAAGAGAGAGAGAGAGAUGAUAAGGUGGAGAGAGAGGAUGAGGAGGAGAGAGAGGAUGAGGUGGAGAGAGAGGAUGAGGAGGAGAGAGAGGAUGAGGAGGAGAGAGAGGAUGAGGAGGAGAGAGAGGAUGAGGUGGAGAGAGAGGAUGAGGAAGAGAGAGAGAGAGAUGAUAAGGUGGAGAGAGAGGAUGAGGAGGAGAGAGAGGAUGAGGAGGAGAGAGAGGAUGAGGUGGAGAGAGAGGAUGAGGAAGAGAGAGAGAGGAUGAGGUGGAGAGAGAGAGAGAGGAUGAGGAGGAGAGAGAGAGAGGAUGAGGUGGAGAGAGAGAGGAUGAGGUAGAGAGAGAGGAUAAG
ensembl:lncRNA